ensembl:lncRNA uncharacterized LOC107562132
CAAAUUAUACAUACUACCAUGGUUAACUCUGAACACUAUAAUUAGUCAAUUCCUUUUCUUUUAAACAGCAAAACCUUUACUGAAACAUUUUGAAUUUUAUAUACGACACUUUCAAACCAGUACUGUGAACUACAUCUUCAAAUAUAAGAAAACUACACCACUAAUACUGACUUAACGUUUCCAAAGCUUUGGAGCCUUCAGCACGGCAUUUAAAAAAUAUGUUCUCAUUAUAUCAUGUAUUAUAAUAUCUUUUCACUUUUAGCUCCUAUACGCAAGUUAUGGGCUUUACUCAAAUGUUUAUGUGAUCAAAUAUUCAUAAUUUGCUCUUAAUUUCAUGUUCCAUUUCAUUUGUAGUUCAGCUAUUUGUGAAAUAUUUGAAAAGCCCAGCUUAAUGCACGUCCUAAUAUGAAUAAUAUAAAAAAUGUGCAAUAAUGACUGUGUAAAUCUCUGCACAGUAUGACAUUAUGAGUGAUUUUGAGUCAGUCAUCUGUCUUGGCACCAGCUGCAGUUCCAGCACGACCAACUGGAGUCAAAGUCAAUGGCAGGCUGGAGUUCAUCUUAUCAAAAAGUCAUAAAGCAGAGAGUAGCCUGUCAUUUUAGGAGACACGCUUUUCCUAAAUAGGAACUUACUGAUACGCUGUAUACACACAGAAUGAACUUUGAACAGUGUGCCUAUGAUGACGUGACUGAUAAACACACAUUAAUGUGGGAUGGAGGGGAGAGAUAAACCUCAGGCCAUGUUUAAUUUCGACAGUAGCCCCAAGGAAGCCUGCAUGCUGCUGCUCUUCUUCUUUUGUUUGAUUGUGUAAGAGGAAUGUCUUCUGCAAAUUCUCUCAUGACAAAUAUAUGGCUGAUCUUUUCCCAACAUUUUAACAGAUGACCACCAUCACACGUCAAAGUCACAUGUUUCCUUCUUCCUUCCUUCCUCUUUAGAUUGCAAAGACUGGAUUAACAUCUCCUCCUGAGUUCACAAGACCAUGACUAUCGGCAGGAGCUCCAGAAAGAACAAGGCCCCUCAUUCUCCUCCUUUCCUGGACAAGGCUAAUGGAUUCUAUGGGCGCUUGGAUGAGAUGUUUGGAGACGAUGUACAGAUGGAGAGAGAGACCAUAGAAGAACAGAUAGGAACCUUAAACCGGAGCACCCAAGACAAUAGUACAGCUCCAGGCUGGAUAGAAGAAGAUGACCAUGUGGUUGAUUUUAACCAGGGUAUGAUGGAUGACGAUGGGACCACUUUACUGAAGAAAAAGCCCAGCAGACUGAGUCGCCGCUGGAGCAGGAUGAGCUCCAGGAAGGGAAAAUAUGACAAAUUUCCCUCAGAAAAAGAACUUGGUAAUGAGACCAACAAGCCCACCUCUGUAGAUCUAAACCCAGAGGUGCCACCAGCAACCCAAACCCUGGAAAACAGCAAAGAACCAGAACCAACGCUGAUCCAUUUCUCUGUGAGGGAGCAUACUGAUGACCAGACUCUGAUAUCAGGGAAGAAAGAAGGAGAACGGGAAAUGGAAGACACAAGAAAAGAGAAGAAGACAGAAGGCAAACUGAAUGGAGAGUCAAUGGAAGUUGUAAAGAGGAACAAUCUCAAGAAUUAUCGCAAGGCCGUGGACAGAGCUUUCCGUCGAGGAUGGGAGACUUUUGUUGCCAAUCUGUACAGUGUGACACUGACACCUAUAUCAUCAACCUCCUCUUCAUCCACACCAUCAGACAAAACUGAAUUCAACAGGAAUCGUGUUUUAGCAGAAUUCAGAUAACAGUAGAACAGACUCAUUUGUAUUUUCAUAUUGAUGAGUAAUUUCAUUUAUUCAUUUAAGUGUGCUCAAAUAUUUAAUUUGCAUUGUUGUUCUUGCAUAAAACUGAUAACCAUCAAUCUUGUUUUAAACUGAUCAUUAUGUAACCUGACAUGAAAGGUCAAUAUUUGAACUUUUAUCAGUGUAUAAAUUUGUUAUCACAGUGCUAACUAAAGAGGCGUCUACCUGAUCUUUGUUCCCUUGUGAGGAAACAUGAGGCCUAUAAUUAUCCAAUGUGGACAGAUCCUUUUUAUUUGAUGUGAUAAUGUUUUUGAGUAGCAGAGUUCCUGUACUUUGGCGAUGAACGUGUAUUACAGGUUUUGUACCAAAGGGUUAACCCUUAAAAAAAAAAAACUGGGAGCUCAUGGAUUUUUUUUUUAAUGUCAUCAACAGGUAACAUCACUGGCAGUGAAGUAUAUAAAUAACUGAGCCGAGAGAUUAAAUGAAGAUGGCUUUUGUUUUCUUGGGACUUAUUUAUCUUGUCUAACUUAGUUUGCUGAACCCAGUUUCCUAAUGUUAUGAAGGAGAAUUUUUAUUUGUAGCGUCUUUUUUAUCUGCAUUGUGACAUCAAAGCAGUGCUUAUAAUAAAAAGGAAAAGUGAGAAAAAAGUCAAUCUGUUUGGCU